rnacentral:rRNA from 1 species
CCUACGUGUGGCAGCAGUGGGGGAUAUUGCACAAUGGGGGAAACCCUGAUGCAGCGACGCCGCGUGUGGGAAGACGGUCCUCUGGAUUGUAAACCACUGUCCCCAGGGACGAAGAUGACGGUACCUGGGGAGGAAGCUCCGGCUAACUACGUGCCAGCAGCCGCGGUAAGACGUGGGGGGCGAGCGUUGUCCGGAAUUACUGGGUGUAAAGGGAGGGUAAGCGGGGAUGCAAGGUGGGUGUCAAAACUACCGGCUCAACUGGGAGUCGCACUCAAAACUGCUGCUCUUGAGUGAAGUAGAGGCAGGCGGAAUUCCUAGUGUAGCGGUGAAAUGCGUAGAUAUUAGGAGGAACACCAGUGGCGAAGGCGGCCUGCUGGGCUUUUACUGACGCUGAGGCUCGAAAGUGUGGGGAGCAAACAGGAUUAGAUACCCUUGUAGUC